GGUUAAGCGACUAAGCGUACACGGUGGAUGCCCUGGCAGUCAGAGGCGAUGAAGGACGUGCUAAUCUGCGAUAAGCGUCGGUAAGGUGAUAUGAACCGUUAUAACCGGCGAUUUCCGAAUGGGGAAACCCAGUGUGUUUCGACACACUAUCAUUAACUGAAUCCAUAGGUUAAUGAGGCGAACCGGGGGAACUGAAACAUCUAAGUACCCCGAGGAAAAGAAAUCAACCGAGAUUCCCCCAGUAGCGGCGAGCGAACGGGGAGCAGCCCAGAGCCUGAAUCAGUGUGUGUGUUAGUGGAAGCGUCUGGAAAGGCGCGCGAUACAGGGUGACAGCCCCGUACACAAAAAUGCACAUACUGUGAGCUCGAUGAGUAGGGCGGGACACGUGGUAUCCUGUCUGAAUAUGGGGGGACCAUCCUCCAAGGCUAAAUACUCCUGACUGACCGAUAGUGAACCAGUACCGUGAGGGAAAGGCGAAAAGAACCCCGGCGAGGGGAGUGAAAAAGAACCUGAAACCGUGUACGUACAAGCAGUGGGAGCCUCUUAAUGGGGUGACUGCGUACCUUUUGUAUAAUGGGUCAGCGACUUAUAUUCUGUAGCAAGGUUAACCGAAUAGGGGAGCCGAAGGGAAACCGAGUCUUAACUGGGCGUUAAGUUGCAGGGUAUAGACCCGAAACCCGGUGAUCUAGCCAUGGGCAGGUUGAAGGUUGGGUAACACUAACUGGAGGACCGAACCGACUAAUGUUGAAAAAUUAGCGGAUGACUUGUGGCUGGGGGUGAAAGGCCAAUCAAACCGGGAGAUAGCUGGUUCUCCCCGAAAGCUAUUUAGGUAGCGCCUCGUGAAUUCAUCUCCGGGGGUAGAGCACUGUUUCGGCAAGGGGGUCAUCCCGACUUACCAACCCGAUGCAAACUGCGAAUACCGGAGAAUGUUAUCACGGGAGACACACGGCGGGUGCUAACGUCCGUCGUGAAGAGGGAAACAACCCAGACCGCCAGCUAAGGUCCCAAAGUCAUGGUUAAGUGGGAAACGAUGUGGGAAGGCCCAGACAGCCAGGAUGUUGGCUUAGAAGCAGCCAUCAUUUAAAGAAAGCGUAAUAGCUCACUGGUCGAGUCGGCCUGCGCGGAAGAUGUAACGGGGCUAAACCAUGCACCGAAGCUGCGGCAGCGACACUAUGUGUUGUUGGGUAGGGGAGCGUUCUGUAAGCCUGUGAAGGUGUACUGUGAGGUAUGCUGGAGGUAUCAGAAGUGCGAAUGCUGACAUAAGUAACGAUAAAGCGGGUGAAAAGCCCGCUCGCCGGAAGACCAAGGGUUCCUGUCCAACGUUAAUCGGGGCAGGGUGAGUCGACCCCUAAGGCGAGGCCGAAAGGCGUAGUCGAUGGGAAACAGGUUAAUAUUCCUGUACUUGGUGUUACUGCGAAGGGGGGACGGAGAAGGCUAUGUUGGCCGGGCGACGGUUGUCCCGGUUUAAGCGUGUAGGCUGAUUUUCCAGGCAAAUCCGGAAAAUCAAGGCUGAGGCGUGAUGACGAGGCACUACGGUGCUGAAGCAACAAAUGCCCUGCUUCCAGGAAAAGCCUCUAAGCAUCAGGUAACAUCAAAUCGUACCCCAAACCGACACAGGUGGUCAGGUAGAGAAUACCAAGGCGCUUGAGAGAACUCGGGUGAAGGAACUAGGCAAAAUGGUGCCGUAACUUCGGGAGAAGGCACGCUGAUAUGUAGGUGAAGUCCCUCGCGGAUGGAGCUGAAAUCAGUCGAAGAUACCAGCUGGCUGCAACUGUUUAUUAAAAACACAGCACUGUGCAAACACGAAAGUGGACGUAUACGGUGUGACGCCUGCCCGGUGCCGGAAGGUUAAUUGAUGGGGUUAGCGGUAACGCGAAGCUCUUGAUCGAAGCCCCGGUAAACGGCGGCCGUAACUAUAACGGUCCUAAGGUAGCGAAAUUCCUUGUCGGGUAAGUUCCGACCUGCACGAAUGGCGUAAUGAUGGCCAGGCUGUCUCCACCCGAGACUCAGUGAAAUUGAACUCGCUGUGAAGAUGCAGUGUACCCGCGGCAAGACGGAAAGACCCCGUGAACCUUUACUAUAGCUUGACACUGAACAUUGAGCCUUGAUGUGUAGGAUAGGUGGGAGGCUUUGAAGUGUGGACGCCAGUCUGCAUGGAGCCGGCCUUGAAAUACCACCCUUUAAUGUUUGAUGUUCUAACGUUGGCCCCUGAUCGGGGUUGCGGACAGUGUCUGGUGGGUAGUUUGACUGGGGCGGUCUCCUCCUAAAGAGUAACGGAGGAGCACGAAGGUUGGCUAAUCCUGGUCGGACAUCAGGAGGUUAGUGCAAUGGCAUAAGCCAGCUUGACUGCGAGCGUGACGGCGCGAGCAGGUGCGAAAGCAGGUCAUAGUGAUCCGGUGGUUCUGAAUGGAAGGGCCAUCGCUCAACGGAUAAAAGGUACUCCGGGGAUAACAGGCUGAUACCGCCCAAGAGUUCAUAUCGACGGCGGUGUUUGGCACCUCGAUGUCGGCUCAUCACAUCCUGGGGCUGAAGUAGGUCCCAAGGGUAUGGCUGUUCGCCAUUUAAAGUGGUACGCGAGCUGGGUUUAGAACGUCGUGAGACAGUUCGGUCCCUAUCUGCCGUGGGCGCUGGAGAACUGAGGGGGGCUGCUCCUAGUACGAGAGGACCGGAGUGGACGCAUCACUGGUGUUCGGGUUGUCAUGCCAAUGGCACUGCCCGGUAGCUAAAUGCGGAAGAGAUAAGUGCUGAAAGCAUCUAAGCACGAAACUUGCCCCGAGAUGAGUUCUCCCUGACUCUUUAAGGGUCCUGAAGGAACGUUGAAGACGACGACGUUGAUAGGCCGGGUGUGUAAGCGCAGCGAUGCGUUGAGCUAACCGGUACUAAUGAACCGUGAGGCUUAACCUU
rnacentral:rRNA from 1 species